CCUACGGGUGGCAGCAGUGGGGAAUAUUGGGCAAUGGAGGCAACUCUGACCCAGCAACGCCGCGUGAAUGAUGAAGGUCUUCGGAUUGUAAAGUUCUUUUCUAAGGGAAGAAGAAAGUGACGGUACCUUAGGAAUAAGCCUCGGCUAACUACGUGCCAGCAGCCGCGGUAAUACGUAGGAGGCAAGCGUUAUCCGGAAUGACUGGGCGUAAAGGGUGCGUAGGUGGUUUGACAAGUUAGUAGCGAAACUCCGGAGCUGAACUUGGAUACUACUACGAAUACUGUUGGACUUGAGUGCAGGAGGGGCAAUCGGAAUUCCUAGUGUAGCGGUGGAAUGCGUAGAUAUUAGGAGGAACACCAGUGGCGAAGGCGGAUUGCUGGACUGUAACUGACGCUGAGGCACGAAAGCGUGGGGAGCAAACAGGAUUAGAUACCCGAGUAGUC
rnacentral:rRNA from 1 species